GCCCCUGUGGCUCAGUGGAUAGGGCGUCGGCCUGCGGGCUGAUAGGUCCAGGUUUGAUCCUGGUCAGGGCA
rnacentral:tRNA from 1 species